rnacentral:rRNA from 1 species
UACAGAGGUCCCAAGCGUUGUUCGGAUUCACUGGGCGUAAAGGGUGCGUAGGUGGUGAGGUAAGUCGGAUGUGAAAUCUCCGGGCUCAACCCGGAAAUGGCAUUGGAAACUACCUUGCUGGAGGGUUUGAGGGGGGAUUGGAAUACUUGGUGUAGCAGUGAAAUGCGUAGAUAUCAAGUGGAACACCAGUGGCGAAGGCGGGUCUCUGGACAGUUCCUGACACUGAGACACGAAGGCCAGGGGAGCAAACGGG